rnacentral:tRNA from 1 species
GCCGGAAUAGCUCAGUUGGGAGAGCGUUAGACUGAAGUUGUUAACGCAACAGUCAUCUAAAGGCCCCCGGUUCAAUCCCGGGUUUCGGCA